rnacentral:hammerhead_ribozyme from 1 species
GCACUGCUGAAGAGUCCCACAAUAGGAUGCAACGGCAGUCCAGUGC